GUUUGUUGCCGACAAGAAAGAAAUGGUUGCUGUAGACUUGAACAUGUACAGUUUUGUCAUGCCAGACGUACCAUGCCAACCAAAUGACAAUGACUGCGGCGUUUUUAUUAUGAAAUUCAUGGACAACUGGUCCAAUGGGGGACUCUCCAAAUCGAUCGAUGUGGCCAAGAUGAAGAAGUAUAGAUUGAAGCUAC